AAUUCACCCACAGGGUAGACAGAGCAACCCCAUGGCAGGAGUGGAUGUGUUCAACCCCCCACAUAGGGCAGCCAAUGAGAAGAAAAACACAGUCCACCACACUUUAACAGGUUUGAAUUUUGGUCCUUUUUCAAUGACAUUCCUAUUUGAGAUCUCUUCUGACGGCUUUAGGGCCAUUCCUAAGAUUCAGAGAGCAGUGUAGCGUGACUCACUGUAUGCCC
rnacentral:lncRNA from 1 species